AGAGGUAGAGCAUGGUCGUCCACCAAUCACGUGUCCAAUCACAUGUCGAAGUACCCUUGAGCAAGACACAUAACUCCAAGUAGCUCCCCAAGGCUGUGCCAUCGGUGUCCGAAUGAGUAUUUAGAUUAGAUCCUUGCAGCAUGGCAGCCUCUGCCAUCAGUGUAUGAAUAUGUGUGUGAAUGGGUGAAUGCUGACAUGUAGUGUAAAGCGCUUUGAGUGGUCGGAAGACUAGAAAAGCGCUAUAUAAAUGUAAGUCCAUUUACCAGUUCACUUACAGACUUC